GCAAACCUCAAACCCUAACUCAUCUUUCAACUCAAAUUUCAAUUCCACAUAAUUUUUUAUCCGAAACUCUGAUUGACGAGUCGUUUACAGUCACGCGUAGCUUUUCUCAUCCUCUUCAAUUCUAUCUAAUAUUUGUGGAUGCUCUAGCAUGAAUUCCUAGUGAAUUCCAUCUAUAUUUCGUGUGGGUUAAGGUAUUGGACGUAAUGCACCUUGUUGAGCAUGCAGAAUUUGCUUUCAGGAAGCGAAGAUUGUCUUUUGGGAAUUUUACUUUUGCUUAGAUAUUUUAAAUAUUCUCCACUACUGUAUUUUAUAACUUGUGUAUCCCUCUUAGAGGUUGAUUAUGGAGAAAUAGGAUUUAUGUUUACUAUUUUUAGUCCUACUUUCGGGUUGUAUUAUGUUAACUAGUC